UGAACCAGGCUCUGAAUAGCUAUGCA
rnacentral:piRNA from 1 species